UAUAAUGAUCUGGAUCAUCAUCAAGUUGUCGCCCUUGCAAGUUGCUUUAUCCCCCGAGAUAAGUCAAAUGAGCAGAUUCAUCUGCGAGCGGGACUUGCAAAACCCUUACAGCAACUUCAAGACAGUGCACGAAGAAUAGCACAGAUACAACAUGACUGUGGGCUGGACGUAAAUGUUGAAGAAUAUGUUGAGUCAACUGCGAGAUCGUACAUGAUGAAUGUGAUAUACUGUUGGUCAAAGGUUAGGUUUGUAUCUACUAGCCAAUUUCGCACUGAGUUGCUUUUCAUGAUGAUAUCUGAUGCCUUUUGAUAUUUUAUCAUCCAUUGGAUCUUUGUUGACCGUCUUUGGUAAAGGUUGUUGAAGUUGAUGCUUCUAUUUUUCAUGCCACUGAAGUAGGGGGACUUCUGCCAUCUGCUGCUUCUGUCGAAGUUUCUAUCUGCAGGAUUUGUUGGUUUUGGAUGUCUUGGGACGUAGUAAAAGUGGCUGAGGUUGAAUUGACCUGUCUGACAUAGCAAACUCUACUUUUGUUAGUAAACACAUCAUUGAAUGUUCGUGUUAAUCCAAAAACUUCUUGUAGUGAGAAUUAUAAGCUUUAGAUUACAAGUUUUCCCUUAUUUGAAUCAUGUGGUUGAACCAUCUGGUUUUUCGUUCAUUUCUUGUGAUAAAUGCUUACAUUACAUAAAAUUCUCAUAUACGUGUGCCUUUGGCAGUUGAAAGCUGCUGCUAGUGCAGUAGGAGAGGCCAAUCUGGAGAACAUGUUUGUAGAGGCAAGUGUCAGCCUCCGUCGAGGUAUUAUGUUUGCCAACUCCCUUUACUUGUAGCUGCGAUGGUUGCAUCAUCUGACAAAUUAUACAAGCCUUCAAAUUGUAGUCCAUUGUAUAAAUGUAAGAUCUUUGUGUUUACAAAAUUUAGGAAGCCAUUAAAGAGUUAUG